rnacentral:rRNA from 1 species
UACGAAGGGUGCAAGCGUUAAUCGGAAUUACUGGGCGUAAAGCGCGCGUAGGUGGUUCAGUAAGUUGGAAGUGAAAUCCCCGGGCUCAACCUGGGAACUGCUUUCAAAACUGCUGAGCUAGAGUACGGUAGAGGGUGGUGGAAUUUCCUGUGUAGCGGUGAAAUGCGUAGAUAUAGGAAGGAACACCAGUGGCGAAGGCGACCGCCUGGACUGAUACUGACACUGAGGUGCGAAAGCGUGGGGAGCAAACAGG